UCGUCGGACUAGGACAAAUGCUGGCGGCCAUAUCUACGCCGCCACGGCCAGGCAUGGCUAGAGGUGGUGGUGCUCGUUGUUGAAAGCCACGCCGGCUAACUUGUGUGGCUGGUGUGUCUAUAACUCCAUAACGCGGCGUAGGUGGCCGGCGAGGUAUCACAGUUCCUAAAUCUGGAGUCUUUUCUUCGCUAACUGGAGUUGGAGCUCCACGACCAUAUAACGGGACGAUAGUCUUUUGAGAGACUUCGCUUUUGCAUACGGGGCACUGCGGGGCUUUCUUUUCUGGGUUUUCUGGUGAUGUAUUUUGAUGAUGAAUCCAUUUAUAGAUACAAGGCCAACAAUAGAGGUGGCCACAGAGUGUCACUACCGGAUCUUGAACAGAUUCUAGACAGAUAUUACAGUCAAACCCACCGGAAACUCCAUUAUCCAGUUUAUCGAUGCUUUUCCAUGGUUUAUCAUCUUUGUUAAAGCUGUUUUCACGUUCGUUAUUAUCGA
rnacentral:lncRNA from 1 species